GAUGAACGCUAGCUACAGGCUUAACACAUGCAAGUCGAGGGGCAGCGCAGUGUAGCAAUACAUGGGCGGCGACCGGCGCACGGGUGCGUAACGCGUAUCCAACCUUCCCGUUACUCUUGGAUAGCCUUCCGAAAGGGAGAUUAAUACAAGAUGGUAUUCAAAUUCCGCAUGUUAUUUGAAUUAAAGAUUUAUCGGUAACGGAUGGGGGAUGCGUUGGAUUAGCUUGCUGGUGAGGUAACGGCUCACCAGGGCUCCGAUCCAUAGGGGUUCUGAGAGGAAGGUCCCCCACACUGGCACUGAGACACGGGCCAGACUCCUACGGGAGGCAGCAGUGAGGAAUAUUGGUCAAUGGGCGGAAGCCUGAACCAGCCAAGUAGCGUGCAGGAUGACGGCCCUACGGGUUGUAAACUGCUUUUGCGGGAGGAUAAAACGCCCCACGUGUGGGGCCUUGCAGGUAUCCCGCGAAUAAGGACCGGCUAAUUCCGUG
rnacentral:rRNA from 1 species